rnacentral:lncRNA from 1 species
AUUUAACAAGUAUCCCGCUGGAGCUUCAUUGCCCGUAGAGACACCGAAGGAGGAGGAAGUGCUGCUGGUUGUCUUUUUCGCUUGACAGACGCCGUUUUUAAAUUGUAUAAUGAUGGAUCCAGUUGGUUGUUACGGUUGUCAAAGGCCAGUUUACUGCAUCAGUGGUCGUCAGCGUGGAUAGUACAGCACCUCCUUAUUUAUUGAGGAUGAUGACAACUUGAAGAUGGAGGACGGAAGAAAUGAUAACCAAGAGUUCUUCUGGUGACCUGACGCUUGCUGCUCCAGAAACAGUCAGGUUCAGGACCUUGUCAAGGAGAGGUGUGCACUCUGCUGUACCACACAUCUUGCCUCGCUUGUACUGCUGUACCACACAUCUUGCCUCACUUGUACUGCUUUGCCACACACCUUGCCUCCAAUAUCAGGAUGGCAAGUGAUUCACAACACUACUAAAGGAAGCAGGUGCCAAGAUACAGCCCGGACCCAGCCUUCCACCCCUCCUCUCUACCUCAGAUAUGUUCUGAACACUGGAGUGCCAUGCUGCCUUGACUGUGCUUACUGGCCACUGCCCUGUACUUGCUUGCUGGCUGCUCUGUAUGGCUCUGCUCUGUGCAUGCUGCCCUGGAUGGCUCUGCUCUGUGCAUGCUGCCCUGGAUGGCUCUGCUCUGUGCAUGCUGCCCUGGAUGGCUCUGCUC